GUUGGCCAGGAUGGUUUCAAUUUCUUGACCUUGUGAUCCGCCCGCCUCGGCCUCCCAAAGUGCUGGGAUUACAGGGCUCUGUGGCUACUAUGAACAAAAGUUAUGUGGCCUCAUGAAAUUUACAUUCUAGUAAUAAGAAACAAAGCUGGGCAAGGUGGUUCAUAUCUGUAAUCCCAACACUUUGGGAGGCAGAGGCGGGAGGAUCACUUGAGGUCAGGGGUUCAAGACCAGCCUGGCCAACAUGGUGAAACCCCAUCUCUAUUAAAAAUAUAAAAAUUAGCCUGGCAUGAUGGCACACACCUGUAAUCCCAGCAACUUGGGAGGCUGAGGCAGGAGAAAUUGCUUCAACCUGGGAGAUGAAGGUUGCAGUAAGCCAAGAUUGUACUACUGAGGCAGCAGCAACGCGGAGGAAACCGGAGUGAACCGAGAGCUUAGCGACCAACAUGAGCCUCCUCAACAAGCCCAAGAGUGAGAUGACCCCAGAGGAGCUGCAGAAGCGAGAGGAGGAGGAAUUUAACACGGGUCCACUCUCUGUGCUCACUCAGUCCGUCAAGAACAACACCCAAGUGCUCAUCAACUGCCGCAACAAUAAGAAACUCCUGGGCCGCGUGAAGGCCUUUGAUAGGCGCUGCAACAUGGUGCUGGAGAACAUGAAGGAGAUGUGGACUAGGUACCCAAGAGCGGCAAGGGCAAAAAGAAGUCCAAGCCGGUCAACAAAGACCGCUACAUCUCCAAGAUGUUCCUGCGUGGGGACUCGGUCAUCGUGGUCCUGCGGAAUCCGCUUAUCGCUGGCAAGUAGGAGCCACCUAUCCCUGUCAGUCAACAGAACUCAUUCCCCUGUCCUACAGAGACCGCUGCCGCUGAUGUUGAGAAUAAUAAAGCUCUGUGUUUUUUUCUAAAAAAAAAAAAAAAAGAUUGUA